UUGUUUGCAGGUGCAGCAGCAUCAAGAUUCACAUACAAAUUCUUUAAUUGGUGUAAUUAAUCACACCGAGUGGAGUUUUUUUGUUAUUGAGAAUCUUGAUGAUGCUGCAUCAGCAAUAAA
rfam:Medicago truncatula strain A17 chromosome 1, whole genome shotgun sequence.